UGCAAGCAUUACGUGAGCGAAGAUUUUUACUUUCAAUUGUUUUCACAAUAUCAAAACAUUUCAAGUGAUUUGUUGGGUCACCACACCCUCGUGCACAUAUGGAUUUCAAACGUUUGAAUCAGCUAUUCUGUUGCUGCAUCUAUUGCAAUUUGCAAUUUCACAGAAAUUUCCUUCUCCGUUAUUUUUUUCAAGCUACAAAAAUGGUGUGUUGUGUGCUGUCAAUUGCGCUAACAAUAUAAGAAAAACAUAUAAACGAUUCACCCGGUUUUCUCAAAACAGCACACAUAUUGAUAAACCGAUGUGGUGUGAGCGGCAGACACGAAAACUGCAUUUUCACAAUUAUCAGACAAAUAUUAAGCAAACACA